AAACAGCUGAAAGGAGGUGAUCCAGUGUCUAGAGUCACAUUGGAGAAAGGUGUCGGAACAGUUCGGAGGGCAGUGCGCUAGGGCAACCCCUGGCGUGAAGGAACCCGAAUUGGCGCGACCUAACCGGCCCGCCUCCUUGACGUCUCGAAUGGGUCACCCCACAGGCAGGGUGACCCA
rnacentral:misc_RNA from 1 species